GCUAGGAUGAACGCUAGCUACAGGCUUAACACAUGCAAGUCGAGGGGUAGCAGGGUCUAGCAAUAGAUCGCUGACGACCGGCGCACGGGUGAGUAACACGUAUCCAACCUUCCGUUUACUCGGGGAUAGCCUUUCGAAAGAAAGAUUAAUACCCGAUAGUAUGCUUUUCCCGCAUGGGAGAAUCAUUAAAGUUUUUCGGUAAUCGAUGGGGAUGCGUUCCAUUAGGCAGUUGGUGAGGUAACGGCUCACCAAACCUUCGAUGGAUAGGGGUUCUGAGAGGAAGGUCCCCCACAUUGGAACUGAGACACGGUCCAAACUCCUACGGGAGGCAGCAGUGAGGAAUAUUGGUCAAUGGACGAGAGUCUGAACCAGCCAAGUGGCGUGAAAAGGAUGACUGCCCUAUGGGUUGUAAACUUCUUUUAUAUGGGAAUAAAGGAGCCUACGUGUAGGUUUUUGUAUGUACCAUACGAAUAAGGAUCGGCUAACUCCGUGCCAGCAGCAGC
rnacentral:rRNA from 1 species